CUUGUACACACCGCCCGUCACACCAUGGGAGCGGGUUCUGCCAGAAGUAGUUAGCCUAACCGCAAGGAGGGUGAUUACCACGGCAGGGUUCGUGACUGGGGUG
rnacentral:rRNA from 1 species